AUAUAUAUAUAUAUAUAUAUACUUGAAUAGUAUUAGUUAUGUGCUUGAAAUUUAAAGAAUUUGGCGGUAUUUUAGUCUUUUCAGAGGAACCUGUCCUGUAAUUGAUGUUCCACGAUUAAUUAUACUUAUUUUAAAGGUUUGUAUAUCGUCGUCAGUUGAAUGUUUUAGGAGAAUUUUAAAUGUUCAGGAUUUUUUAUAAUAAAUUAAAUCAGAUCAAGGUGUAGCUUAUAUAUAAGUAGAGAUGGGUUACAAUAAAUAUAUUUAGAUGGUUAAAUUAAUUAACAUUAUUUUGGAAUGUAAUUUGAAUGUAAUAUAAUUUAGUUAAAUUGUAUGAUUAAGCUCUAGAUUCAGGGUUUUUUUAAAACAUAUUUUAGUUAUUUAAUUUUUCUCGAAUUUUUAGAGCUAAUAGUUUAUAUAUUUAAUUGUAGUAUAAAAUUUUUAUUAUAAAUUUUUAGUAAUGAAACGUUAUACGUUUUAAAAUAUAUCUAGUUAUUUUAGAAAUAAAUUUUAUUUAUUUAUUUAAAUGCAUAUUUUUUUUUUUUUAAAAGUAUGUUUUGAUUAUUAAAUAUUUUAAGGGAUAAGCUUUAAAAUAGAAAAUUAUAAAUAAUUAUUGUAUUAAAAAGGAAUAGAAUUAGUAAUUUUAAAUUUUUAGUUUGUUAUAAUUAAUUUUUUUUUAUAUAUGAUUUAUAUUAAUUUUAAUUUUUAUAUUAAAAUAUUUUAUAUAAUUUAGUUAUGUGUGUAAUAAUGAUAAAAUUAGUAUAUUUUGUUUUAUUUUUAUAUUAAAAUUUAUAGGUUAGGUUAAGGAAUUCGGCAAAAUUAAUUUUUCGCCUGUUUAUUAAAAACAUGUUUUUUUGAUUAUAAUUUAAAGUUUGACCUGCCCACUGAGUAGUUAAAUGGCCGCGGUAUUUUGACCGUGCAAAGGUAGCAUAAUAAUUAGUUUUUUAAUUGAAAGCUGGAAUGAACGGUUGGACGAGAAAAUGACUGUCUCAAUGUAAUUUAAUUAAAAUUUUAUUUUUAAGUUAAAAAGCUUAAAUUCUUUUAAAAGACGAGAAGACCCUAUAGAGUUUUAUAUUAAUAUUGAUUGUUAUUAUUUAGUUAGUUUAUUUAAUUAUUAUUAUUAAUAUUUUAUUGGGGUGAUAGAAAAAUUGAUAGAACUUUUUUUUUAUUGAUUCAUUAAUAUAUGUUUAAUUGAUCUAUUGUUUAUGAUUAUAAGAUUAAAUUACCUUAGGGAUAACAGCGUAAUUAUUAUAGAGAGUUCUUAUUGAAAUAAUAGUUUGCGACCUCGAUGUUGGAUUAAAAUUAAUUUUUGGUGUAGGAGCUAAAAGGUUAGGUCUGUUCGACCUUUAAAAUUUUACAUGAUCUGAGUUCAAACCGGAGA
rnacentral:rRNA from 1 species